rnacentral:rRNA from 1 species
GCGCAGCAGGCGCGAAACUUCGCAAUGCGCGAAAGCGCGACGAGGGGAUUCCAAGUGCAUGCACUAAGUGUAUGCUUUUCGUGAGUUUAAAACGCUCACGGAAUAAGGGCUGGGUAAGACUGGUGCCAGCCGCCGCGGUAAUACCAGCGGCCCUAGUGGUGAUCGUUAUUAUUGGGCCUAAAGCGUCCGUAGCCGGUCCGGUAAAUCUCUGGGUAAAUCGUUGGGCUUAACUCAGCGAAUUCUGGGGAGACUGCUGGACUUGGGGACCGGGAGAGGUCGGAGGUACUCCAGGGGUAGGGGUGAAAUCCUGUAAUCCUUGGGGGACCACCGGUGGCGAAGGCGUCCGACCAGAACGGGUCCGACGGUAAGGGACGAAGCCCUGGGGCGCGAACCGGAUUAGAUACCCCUGUAGU